UGGGUAACCUGCCCCAGACUUUGGGAUAACCCCCGGAAACGGGAGCUAAUACCGGAUACUCUCAGCGGACCGCAUGAUCUGCUGAGGAAAGCUCCGGCGGUCUGGGAGGGCCCGCGGCCUAUUAGCUUGUUGGUGAGGUAACGGCCCACCAAGGCGACGACGGGUAGCCGGCCUGAGAGGGCGACCGGCCACACUGUGACUGAGACACGGCCCAGACUCCUACGGGAGGCAG
rnacentral:rRNA from 1 species